rnacentral:rRNA from 1 species
GACGAACGCUGGCGGCGUGCCUAAUACAUGCAAGUCGAACGCUUCUUUCCUCCCGAGUGCUUGCACUCAAUUGGAAAGAGGAGUGGCGGACGGGUGAGUAACACGUGGGUAACCUACCCAUCAGAGGGGGAUAACACUUGGAAACAGGUGCUAAUACCGCAUAACAGUUUAUGCCGCAUGGCAUAAGAGUGAAAGGCGCUUUCGGGUGUCGCUGAUGGAUGGACCCGCGGUGCAUUAGCUAGUUGGUGAGGUAACGGCUCACCAAGGCCACGAUGCAUAGCCGACCUGAGAGGGUGAUCGGCCACACUGGGACUGAGACACGGCCCAGACUCCUACGGGAGGCAGCAGUAGGGAAUCUUCGGCAAUGGACGAAAGUCUGACCGAGCAACGCCGCGUGAGUGAAGAAGGUUUUCGGAUCGUAAAACUCUGUUGUUAGAGGAGAACAAGGACGUUAGUAACUGAACGUCCCCUGACGGUAUCUAACCAGAAAGCCACGGCUAACUACGU